rnacentral:rRNA from 1 species
CCCUUAGAUGUUCUGGGCCGCACACGCGCUACACUGAAGGAGGCAGCGUGUACUCCUGGAUCGAAAGAUUUGGGUAACCCGCGAAUCUCCUUCGUGCUAGGGAUUGAGGUUUGCAAUUAUCCUUCAUGAACGAGGAAUUCCCAGUAAGUGCAAGUCAUAAGCUUGCGCUGACUACGUCCCUGCCCUUUGUACACACCGCCCGUCGCUACUACCGAUUGAAUGAUUUAGUGAGGACUUCGGACUGGGACCGAUGCGGCUUUCGGGCUGCGUCAGUAUUCUGGAAAGAUGUCCAAACUGUAUCAUUUAGAGGAAGUAAAAGUCGUAACA